UUCUCAUGGGGGUGCCAAGACAAGCUAUGGCCACUCCUAUGCCUGGUCUCCCUUUGUUCCCUCCAGCUGCUCUGUCACCUAUAGCAUGUCAUCAAUGAGUGGGGCCUGACCACACUGCUGUCAUCAGUUAAAAUUCUAUUGGACAUCAGCAUCCUAGAAACACCUGAAAUCAGGAGGUAUAGACCGAGGGAAAAGAAGGCUAACAAGCAGCAAGGUUUCGAAGGGGUCAUGUAUUUAAAGGGAUAUGUGAGGACUCAUCAUGACUGUGGCUUACAGUUUAUUUUGUCUUGAAAACGUCUGAGGUCAUUCUAACUAUGCUGACCUGUGAACUCGACAUGAUCACCCAUCUGAGACUGCAAGCAAACACUGCCCUCUUGUGCACCAAACAGCUCCAACCAGCAGCACAGGGUGUAUCUACCCACAUCCAGUAGAUGGCUUAGGGGUAGAGCUGGUUUUCUCCGCUGGGGACUUGUCAGGAAGAGGAUGACACACAUCUGUUACCAGAGUAUUUGCUGCAUGUCCCCAGAUUGCCUUCUGAGGCAGAUUUUGAGAUAAGAAGAGGGAAGACUCAGUUGGAGAAAUCAGACCGAAUGCAAUGGAUUCUUAUGGUUUCUAGGAAACACUCACCGCUCUAAAAGCUGUUGGUUGUCAUGGGAACUUUUAUUAUGUACUUGAAAAACUUUUAGAAAUGAUUGAUGAACUUAAAAUAAUGAGUAAGUAGUACUUUCAUUUAUCUAAGAAAUCUUGCAGGGGAAAAAAAAAACCUCAUUUGGUUCCAGAGCAGAAAAGGGAACAAGAGCCCCUCAGGUUACUUUUGCUCUGGUGACUCCCCCGAAGCACAGACACAAGCACUUCCUGGAGACAGAAGACCAAGCUGGCAUCUCAAGAAAGCUCGAAGGAUGUCUGUUACUGUUCCCUUGUUUUGAGAAAAGGGAACUAGAGGUGUAGCUCAGUGGCAGAGUGUAUCCCACACCUAAGUUCCAUAAGCCAGUACUGCAAAAAAACAACACGAAGAACUUAAGGAAAGGAUAGAAGAUACCCACACGAAUCUGAGACCAGUACCAUCUGCUCAGCAGCAAAGCUCGGAGGAAGGAGCUGGGCAUCUCUGAAAUCAGCUUCCAGUUCUGUUCUAAACAACGAAUCAUCAGAACGUCAGCACCCACUCUUCUACCUCAUGGGUAAAGCUGGGAGAGCAAACCAUAGCAAUCUUGGUUCUCCUGAAAAGGGCAGCUGUGAGGAUUAAGAAAAGAAUAACGAAACAGGCCAUGCACCAACCCGAAGAACAGCACCAGAUAACUGACACCUGCAUUCAUCACUUCCGACCCAGAGCACCACCAGGACUUCAUCUGAGCCAUAAGGAAGAUGAAAUCCAGUUUUCAUACAGAAAGGAGUCUUGUUCUGGAGUUCAUCUAGGAAACAACGGGAUCAGAGGGCGGGCUCUAACGUGAGAGGCCAUCAUUUGACGCUAUCACCAUGGACUCAGUUGUUGUGAUGGUCUCCUCCAGUGGACCAAGGGUCUGAACCACUCAGUAAACCCCUCA